CCCCCUGCUCUCUCCCCGGGGCAAGAAGGGGACUGACAGGUAACUGCAGCACCAGGCCCUUCGGCCCCUCGUCCCCCUGCUCUCCCCCCCCCGGGGCAAGAAGGGGACUGACAGGUAACUGCAGCACCAGGCCCUUCGGCCCCUCGUCCCCCUGCUCUCCCCCUGGGGCAAGAAGGGGACUGACAGGUAACUGCAGCACCAGGCCCUUCGGCCCCUCGUCCCCCUGCUCUCCCCCCCGGGGCAAGAAGGGGACUGACAGGUAACUGCAGCACCAGGCCCUUCGGCCCCUCGUCCCCCCGCUCUCCCCCCGGGGCAAGAAGGGGACUGACAGAGCUGGUCAGAUUGAGAUGCUGAGUGAACUCUGUACGAUCUCUGUUGCCCAUAACCUGGGAGAGGGCAUCAUGCUGAAAAUCAAAUUCAACAUCAUCGCCUCGCUAUAUGAUUACAAUCCCAACCUGGCCUCCUGCAUGAAGGAGGACAUGUGGAGGAAGUGCCUGGACUGUGUGGAUAACCUUCUCGACAUCCUGUUUGAGUGUCCCAACAUUUUCAUAGGAGAGAACAUUGGGGAGGACUCUGAGAAUCUCUCCAAUCCAGAGCAGGUAACAG